GAUGAACGCUGGCGGCGUGCUUAACACAUGCAAGUCGAACGGGAAACCUUUUAAUGAGGCUUCGGCAGAUUUAGCUGGUUUCUAGUGGCGGACGGGUGAGUAACGCGUGGGUAACCUGCCUUAUACAGGGGGAUAACAGUCAGAAAUGACUGCUAAUACCGCAUAAGCGCACAGGACCGCAUGGUCCGGUGUGAAAAACUCCGGUGGUAUAAGAUGGACCCGCGUUGGAUUAGCUUGUUGGUGGGGUAACGGCUCACCAAGGCGACGAUCCAUAGCCGGCCUGAGAGGGUGAACGGCCACAUUGGGACUGAGACACGGCCCCGACUCCUACGGGAGGGAGCAGUGGGGAAUAUUGCACAAUGGGGGAAACCCUGAUGCAGCGACGCCGCGUGAAGGAAGAAGUAUCUCGGUAUGUAAACUUCUAUCAGCAGGGAAGAUAGUGACGGUACCUGACUAAGAAGCCCCGGCUAACUACGUG
rnacentral:rRNA from 1 species